CUGAUGUCACUCUAGCCCAGUACUGUGGAAAAUGAACAACUGUUCCCCACCUACUCCAUUCUCCUUCAGAGUCCUCCUGUUUAUGCUUGAGCAGCGCUUAAAUGUAUAAGCAGCAGCCAUUAAAGUAACGUUGAGGUUAUAACCCGAGGUGAAAUAAUGCGUAGGAAAAUGGUGAAGGAAUUGGAUUGCGUGCUAUUUUAAAAUUAUGUCUGUAAUUACGACUGAUCGAUCGAUUUUGAUGUCACUAACCACGCCCAACUCAAAAACCUGAUUGGGGUGAACAACCCGGAGGUGACGUAGAAAACGAGUCUCGAGUGUAAUGGCUACAGGUGCACCAUAACACUAGCAAGAUAAAUCCCAAAAUGGAGACGGGCGAAGCCGAAUACGCGACGAAUUACGGAUACAAUGACCACAGGCUUACCAUUUUGAUCGUGCUAGGAAUCCAAGGGCCUGGAACAAUAUCAGGAGGAGAAUUAAAGGUGAUCGGCAGGAGACUGAUGUCUGAGAAGGACUUGUGGAGAGUUGGACAGAUGUUUUGGGGUUAUAGAUCCUUCCUCCAACUGUCUCAUCAUGCCAUGCUAGACCAAUCAAACUGCAAAAAGCCAGGCACACGGAUGGACACUGGCCACGCGUCUGAUAGGUACGCCUGUAGUGGACCCAGGGCUUCAGAAAUGGUGGAGUAUCUGUAUAGAUGCAGUCGUGCCAUCUCUCCUUCUCUCCUCUCCCUUUUUUCCCUAUAAUUGCUGAGUGCAUUUUCCAGAAGCACAAGCACACACCCACGCACAGACUCGUGAGCAGUCUUGCAUAUAUAGCUAUAUAUGCCUGUGUUUGUUUGUUCUUUGGAUCUGCAUGCACACAGCCUAAUGUUCACCAUUAAGCAUCUUUUGUUCUGCUAUUAGAGAAAGAAUAAAUGCAUAGCUCAUAGCAUCACUUUUCAUUUAUGCAGACAUUUCAGUUUUACUGUUAGUGUAAUGCACACACACACACACACAUACAUACCCCCCAAAAAAACACUCUCUCACACUAUAAAGAUAGACUGAUAGUUUGCAACACACUAACAUCGCAUCAUACUGAUUACAUCGUAAAAUAAAGAGAAAGAUAGCCAACAAGGCUUAAAAUAAGAGAUGCCAUGCUGUAUAUUUUACAAAGCAGAAAUAGUUUUUUUUUUUUUUUUAUAAAGGUUAAAAUGUGAGCAAAAGCAGAACAUAUUU